UAUGGAACUUCACCCAGGACCCUGGGAUCAUGACUUGAGCCAAAGGCAGAUGCUCAACCAGUGAACCACCCAGGUGCCCCUGAUUUCUGAUUUCUAAAUCAUAAUGUAUGGCCUUUAUAACAACAAAAAGUGGCCAUUGUGGUCAAGAGGCUUACUUAUAGAAUGUCUAUUGAUAAAGCAUAUGUAGAUAAAAAAUACGAAAUACCUUUCACAUAAUGUGAAAAGGGCAAUAAAAGGAGGAAUCUCUUUUCUGGUUUAGCUCCACUCAUUUACUCCUUCAUGUACUCCUUCACAAACGUUUAGUUUGUCCCUACUCACCAAACAUUUCAUUUGCAUUUUAUUGGAAAUACAAAGAUAAAUAUUUCUUCAUCCCAAGAAACAAAAAUAGAUACUUAUGAAAUAACUACAGAACUUACAAUCUAUUAUAAACACAGUGGUAAAAACAUAUGCAGGGUAUAAUGCAAACCUAGGGAAGAGGGUCUUAAUUCACAGUGAGGACAUGAUAUUAGAGAAAGCUUUCGGUGGGGACUAUGGGGUGGUGUGGUGAGCUGAUUCUUAAAGGAUGAAUAAUUGUGAAGGAGACACUGAAUCUGGCAGGACAGAGUAACUCAAAACAUAGACACUGUUAGUGGAGAGUCAGGAGCUUCAGAUUUCUGUGAAGAAAGCAUUCUUUUAAUCACAUUAACACAAACAAGGGAGUCAGAGGUAAAAGCUUUUUUUUUUCCCCCAGUGAGAUGUUAGAGCAAUAUCCAAUUAGAAAAGUCUAGCAAGUAGUUUGAAAUGAGAAGGAAAACAUGAUUUCAGGUGGAUUUAGGAGGUAGAAACAGUCACCUAAUUUUCUUUCUUUCUCCAUCCAUUUCUUAUUGUCCACCACCCUGUUAAAUAUUUAUGCCUUUUGAGUUCUCUCCUUUCCUUCUUUUCUUCUUCCUUGGUACUGAGUAUGAUCUAUAGGCAUUCUCUUUGUGCAAACCUGUUACAGCUUUCUCUCCUAAGCUUCAAACAUGGGAAUACUACCGUUUGGAUAUUUCAUGGGGAUCUCAAAGUACCAUAAUCAUUUUGGAUAACAAACUAACAUACUGACAGAAAAGAUUUCUGCAGUCCCUCUACACCUCUCCAAUUCAAGCUUGCAACUUCCUCAUAUGCCUCUCACACACCUUGUCAAUUUGGCCACCCAAGCCAAGAACAUGAGAGUCAUUCUCAAUUCUCCUUGUUCCAUGCUCUCCACCUCCAGUUAGUUACCUUUCCCUUCAUUCUCUGUGGUUCUUUUUGAAAUGAUUCAUACAACCUUUGUAGCAGCAAUCACAUUGUGGCUAAUGGUGAUUUCAUCCAUGUCUGCUACUCCACCCAUUUCUCUCUCUCGAGACUGUUAGUACUUAGAAAGCUGAGGCCAUAUCAUAUUCAUAGUGGCCCAGCCCCUCGUAGCCAGCAAAUAUUUGGUGAUUGAUAAAGAAUUGUUGAACUUAGCCCACAUACUAGAAGGAACUAAUUAGAAGUAAAAAAAACAAAACAAAACAAAACAAAAAACCCACAGUAUUAAAAAGGAACAUGUUUGAAAUGUACACUGUGAAUGAAUUAAUGGUGGAUCUAGUCAGAAAAUGUUGGUCUGUUGGUUUGUGUAUGUGUGUUUUUCCCAACCAUACUGCAGCUCAAGAACAGAAGGACAGCAGAUGGUGAUGUGGGUUAGGGUUGCAGGGUGGCCUGGCUGAUAGUUAAGAGAUAUGUCAGUGUAUAUAUGAAACUGAAUGUGGCACGAGGGGAUGAGCAGGAACCAAGCUGGUGGAGUCUAGGGGCCAGUUGAGAAGAUAGUGUAUUAGAUUUACAUUGAGUAUGGAAGAAUAAGAGAGGAUCACUUUUCCUUUUAAUCCUGGGGAAAGAACUAUGGUCCUUUUCCACAGAUGCCCAGGCAUGAGUGACAUCACAGAUACUAGAGUCAGAAUGUUGAGAUUCUCAUGGACUUUCCAGUUAGAUGGAUCAAGAGCCACCUUCAACUUGGGCAUUGAAAAAGGAGAACUGGCUGACUUGGGGUAGAGGAUGACUUUAUUGUCUUUCUGAGCUAGAAUUUACAGACCAAUAAUCAAAGCCUACCAGACUGCAAGCCUUGUGGUCUAGCACAGAGAAGCCAGCACAUCCCUAAUGAACAGUCACCACGUUCUGGGGCAGGAGCAAUCAGCCCUGAGACCACAGGUGGACCGUUCUUAACUUUUACUGAAAACAAUAUCUGAAUGAUGUCAUACCUUUGGGGAGAGUCACACCCAUUUCAUGUAGAAUCAGCUACAUGAUUACCUUACAGAGUAGAGACAUCCUUUCCUAGCAAGAAUUGGCAGAAGCAGCCAUAAGCAUGCGUUGGCUUGUUCUGGAGGCUCUGGUGUGAAAUAGGGUUGCACAGAGUAGAAGAGCUUCUAUCAUCUUGGCGACAAAUGCCUUUGUUGUUGAUUUGCCUCUUUGAAAGAAUUUCCAAAGACCAGCACAAAAGAGGAUGUUUCAGGAUCCGAGAAAGUGUAAAGAGGAAGAGUGGCAAGUUAGAAAAUCAACUUAUCUUUCAACUGUAGCAGUCAUAACUUGUGGAGAAAAAUUCAGAGCAAUUUAUAACAGCUGAGAGGAAGAGGGAAGAUUCAGAAAGAAAUAUUGUCAGAACUUAUGAGACUAUGUGUUUAUUACAUGUUAAAUUUUUUGUUAAACAAGAAAUCGUACAUAAUUAAUGUGUAUAACUUGAUGUGUUUGGAGGUAAGUAUACACCCAUGAAACCAUCACCACAGUCUAUGCCACGAACCUAUUCAUCCCCUCCAAAAGUUUUCUCCCUCUUAUUUAUUAUUAUUAUUAUCAUCAUCAUCAUCAUCAUCAGUGCCAAGAACACUUAACAUAAGAUUUACCCUCUUAGCAAAAUUUAAGUAUAUAAUACAGUGUUGCUAACUAUAGGUUCUGUGCUGUAUAGUAGAUCUCUAGGACUUAUUCAUCUUGUCUAAAUGAAACUUUAUGCCCUUUGACUAAUACUUGCAUUUCCUGUGACACAGUUUUCCACUAAAGUUGUGGAUAUUGGCCCUGAAUGAGAAUAAUUAAGAGUUUGGUAAAACAAGGUCUUUUCAUUAUGCCUUACCUAAAGAAAAUUAGGUGGAAAAUCAAAGUGGUUCUUUUCUUUUUACUAGUAAAUCUAGAGAGCAGACUCUGCAUGUAGAAACUUUGUAUCUGCAACACAAACCAGCCAUGCCUGGUCCGUGGAUCUGGUGAUGGAAAGACACCGGUGCAUGGAGCCUGCUUCUCCCUCUGCCUGUGUCUCUGCGCCUCUCUCUCUCUCUCUGUGACUAUCAUAAAUAAAUAAAAAUUUUAAAAAAAAAUUAAAAAAAAAAAAAAAAGGAAAGACACUGCUUCAAUCAGCUACACCAAGCUACUUGCUUAUCUGAGGCGUGUGUGUAUGGGUGUGUGUGUGUUUUACCUCCAGGUUAGGGCCACAUAAAUCUUACUGUCAACAUAGUUCAUUGGACAUGGAAAGACAUGACUCACAUUUUGUGUUUAAAUACUCAUUUUUGGCUUAGUGACAAUGCCUUUUUGCAGGAGUGGAAACCAUGUCAUUAUCCCAUUUAUAUAAAUACAAAUUACCUGAUUCUGUGCUACUUUAUAAUUAACAGAAUUCUUUGCAAUCCUCUCUUGAUUAUGAAAGAAUAUAAAUACUUCCCUUGCCUUCUGAGGCAAUGAGGACAUACAUAUUCUUUCAAUAUCAGUGUUUCUCUUAUAUUAGAAUUUGACGCUCUGUGUUUUCACACAUCAUUUACUGUUUGCUAAUUUAAUAACAAAUUCAGGAUGCAGAAAACAUCAGACGUUGCAAGGCAUAAAUUUUAAAAUAUAAUACUACUUCAUGGAAUAAAGGUGGAGAGGGAGAUAGUGUUGAAGAGUAAAAUAGUUGUAGCUGUUCAAAUGUGUUUUUCACAAAUCACAGAAACACUGAGGUUGAAGGACCCAUUUAAAGUUAUCAUUUAAAAAAAGUGAAAUAGAAUAAAACACAAAUCACGGUCUUAGAUAUGGAGAACAGAUUGGUGAUUGCCAAAGGUAGGGCACGGGAUGUGUAGAAAAUGGGUGAAAGGGGUCAAAAGGUAGAAACUUAGAGUUAUAAAUAAGUCAUGGGGAUAUAAUAUACAGCAGGGUCACUAUAGUUAAUUUCUGAAUUGCAUAUUUGCAAGUUGUGAAGAGGGUAGAUCUUACAAGUUCUUAUAACAAGAAAAAAAUUUUUUGUAACUAUGUAUGGUGAUGGAUGUUACUUAGAUGUACUGUGGUGGUCAUUUCAUAAUAUAUAUUAAUACUGAAUCAAAAUCGGUACAUGUAAAAUUAUUUUUAUACCUAGCUAUGUGUCACACAUAACCUCUUCUAAAUUGGGUGCUAUCAAAGUAAUUCUUGGGCAACCUGGGUGGCUCAGUGGUUUAGUGCUGCCUUCAGCCCAGGUGUGAUCCUGGAGACCCGGGAUUGAGUCCCACGUCAGGCUCCCUGCAUGAAGCCUACUUCUCCUUCUGCCUGUGUCUCUGCCUCUCUCUCUCUCUGUCUCUCAUGAAUAAAGUCUUAAAAAAAAAAAAAAAAAAAGUAAUUCUUAAGGAGUUUACCAAAAAAGAGUUUCUAUGACUUUUGGAUAGUUUGUUUUAUUUUUUGUUUGUUUGUUUUUUUUUGUUUUUUGGGGUAGCUUGUUUUCCUUAUUAAAUGUGGAAGAGAUGUCAUUGUGUCCUGAAAUAUAACCCCACGUAUACUUCAGUAUAGCAGCAAACCAUAUAUUUGCAUUCUAUCUAUUCCCCUGUUUCUUCCUUUUUAUCUCUCUCUGUCUCUCAGUCUUAGAUAUAUAUAGAAAUAUACAGAUUGCUCUGUCCUGUAUUCCCAAAUAGAUAUAUUUGCCCCCAGUGUACUGCUUCUUUAAUCUUUAGAAUUGUACCUAGAUUUCUAGUCCGUUAAAAAAUCAUUUUGAUUGUUUUCUUUGUAUUCUUAACAAUUUUUAAUGCUCUACUCAAGUCUCAGAGCAGAAAGCAAGCAGCUUAUUUUGACAGAGUAAUAAUUAUGUAUUAUUAUUACUGAAUAACUAUAGAUAAACCUUUGCAUUUAUGUCACUUUAUUGAGUGACCUUGAGGAAGUAAUUUGCUUCUCUGGGUCUCUCUUUUCCUGACUAUAAUCAGGGUUACUGUAAGAAUUAAAUUAGAAUAUGUACCUCUUUGUCUUGGCCACCUGGUAGGGCUUAUCAAUGUCCUCUUUCUUCCUGCUCUGGUAACGGUAUCCAUUUGCACUUGUUCUUUUAGACCAUCAUUCUCUUGAGUUUUAACUAUAUCUGCAUUGUGUUUAGAUUUUUUCUGUUAUGCAUUUGUUAAAAAGAAAGUCUAUGCAUAAAAAAGAAAUUAAGACACCAA